AGCGAACGCUGGCGGCAGGCCUAACACAUGCAAGUCGAGCGCCCAGCAAUGGGAGCGGCAGACGGGAUAGUAACACGUGGGAACGUACCUUUCAGUUCGGAACAACCAAGGGAAACUUUGGCUAAUACCGAAUACGCCCGUAAGGGGAAAGAUUUAUCGCUGAAAGAUCGGCCCGCGUCUGAUUAGCUAGUCGGUGAGGUAAUGGCUCACCAAGGCGACGAUCAGUAGCUGGUCUGAGAGGAUGAUCAGCAUCACUGGGACUGAGACACGGCCCAGACUCCUACGGGAGGCAGCAGUGGGGAAUAUUGGACAAUGGGCGCAAGCCUGAUCCAGCCAUGCCGCGUGAGUGAUGAAGGCCUUAGGGUUGUAAAGCUCUUUCGUCAGGGAAGAUAAUGACGGUACCUGAAGAAGAAGCCCCGGCUAACUUCGUGCCAGCCGCCGCCGUAACAC
rnacentral:rRNA from 1 species